GGGAUCGUGGUCUAGUGGUGAUGACGCCUGCCUGACAUGCAGGAGGUCGGGAGUUCAAUUCUCCCCGGUCCCA
rnacentral:tRNA from 1 species